UGGUGCAGCGCAAGGACUCUGCUAUAUGCACCACGACUGUACUCGAUCCAUCAUUCAUAGAGACAUUAAGUCCAGCAAUAUCCUUCUGGACUCAGAAUUCAAUGCAAAAAUAGCAGAUUUUGGACUAGCAAAAAUACUAUCCAGGAGGGAUGAUAAUCCUGAGACAGUUUCUGCUAUUGCUGGAACAUUUGGUUACAUUGCACCAGGUAUAUUACAGUUUAAAUAUCUAUUGUACCUCGAGAAUUUCACAAAAGAAUUAUACUCCAAUAUUAAAUUUUAAUGUUUGGUCCUCACAGAGUAUGCCUCGACAUUUAGAGUGAAUAUAAAGACAGAUAUCUAUAGCUUCGGAGUGGUGCUAUUGGAAUUAACAACAGGGAGGCAACCCAUUCUCAGAGAGGACCAAAUGAAUCUAGCACAAUGGGCUCAACAGCGUUACAGAGAUGGGAAUUUCAUUGUUGCCCUUGAUGAAGAAAUCAUGGAAACAAGUAAUGUGGAACAAAUGAGAGGUGUUUUUAAACUAGGACUAAUGUGUACCGGAGCAUCACCAUCUAGUAGGCCGUCAAUGAAGGAGGUCUGCAACAUUCUUCAAAGUCUCAGAGACCCCAUAUUUUGAGAGAAUAGAAUGUUUCGCCUUACAUAGAUAAAUGUAGUUGUAUUUUUUUUAACAGAAUGAGAAAGUCGUGUUGAUAACGAUUUCUUCCAGCAAUGUAUACUUUAGUAAUACUGUCAGAGGACAUUUUUUAUCCUCAGACAGAUCAAUAGCCUCAUCUGGUUUAAGUGGUGUCAAACACAAGGGCUUGUAAGCUUUACCUUAGAAUGUGAUUCCUUGUUCAUACUUGAGAUGUCGCGAGGCAAGAGCUAAGUGUCGUGGCAAUUACAGUGUAUAUAUAUAUAUAUAUCUUUUUUUUAAUUCUUCAGAACUCUCCAAGGAAGCUUUUGGAACAUACAGGUUUGAUGAACUGCAAAUGCCUUCUUUCAAACAUAAAUCCUUCUCAUGAUAAUCUUGUAGGAAGUCUAGUUCUUGUGGCAGAGGUUGUAGCGGCUGGGGAUUAUCCUGGGGUUCCCAAAAAAUAAAAAAUAAAAAUUCUAACAGUUUUACACAAUUGAUAAAAGCUAAAACCAUUGAUUAGAUAUUCAUUAAUGGUCUAGGCUAACUUAUAUGAUUGGAAAAAUGAAAUGUUCCUAUAAGCGAUCAAGUUUUUCUACUCGUUAAUUCUUUUGGUACUUGUUUUAAUUAGUUUGUUAGAAUUGUUCUGACCCUCAGUGAUACUCCUGAUGGAGCAGGGUCAAGUAGGACUAACAGACUUCUAGGUUCACAAGCUUCAGAAGAUGAGGUGAACAUGACAUCUUAGGCGAAGAAAGUGAGGAGCCCCGAGUCCUAAGGGGAGAGGGUGUAUAUGAUGCCCCCGAUGGAGGGCAGGUUAAUGAGGGUACAGGAUCAAGCAAGAUGUCAAAUCCAUGUUAAAUGUGGCAGCAGCAACACUGCAGAAGCUCAAGCAACAUUUUUUGGUAUUGAUUGGUGCAUCCAAAAUGGAUUCAGUGGUUUCACCAUUAAACUGGAUUCACUUUUGGUUACCAGCAUAUUAAAAAAGAUGAUAAGACUGCCAACUUCAAGCUGAAGAUUAUCAUUGAAGACGUUUCCCAAACGAUGAACCAAACCAAUGUUAUUGGCUACCGUUAACAACUGCACUGCUACAAAGAGGCAAAUCAAGUAGCAAACGUCCUUCCAAUAAGGCAAUGGUAUACCUCUCCUUCCAACAACUUCCUAGAGGUUCUAAAGGACCUUUCCAUUUAGAUAGAUGUCAGAUACCUGGUAUAUAUUAGGACAAAAUUUGAUAAGGACAACUUUUUCGUUUUGUUGAGACCGUUAUUGACUGUUCUAUGGAAAAGGACUAACAAGUGUAUUCUCCAUAAUCUAUAAUCUGACCCAUUUUAUGAGUUAAUUAGACUGUUGGAUAGAGAAGAAAAAUCAGAAAAAUAAAAGAGUUGAUUCAUCACCUCACUAGAAAAGAAGGUAGAAUAAGUAUUUGGACUUUUAAUUUUUCAGUGCAAAUAAAGAAGCAACGAUAAUCCUGGAUUCGCAGCCAAUUGCUAGGAAGAAGUAUUAAGGCUAAGUAAUAGAAUUUGCAGAACUUCCUUCAUGGAAGGUCUAGCAGAAGGUACAGUACUGGUGCAAAUAAUCCCCAACUUGAACAUGGAACUCAUUUCGUUCAAGAAACAUGCUUCCUUGAUUUCUUCAUCAAUAGCAUCAACCACUGGAUUGCCUUCUUCAUGGUGGUUCCAUGCCCUUUGUGCAAGGUUUAUAUGCUCGUCUCCGUUAAUUGGUUCUCUCCCGGUAACCAGCUCCAAUAACACCACACCAAAACUGUAGACAUCAAUCUUGGCAUUCACUUUCGACGUGUAUGCAUACUCUGAAAUUCCAAUUAGAAUAACAAGGUAUUAGGAUAAAAUCAAUGAGAAACACGAUACAUACGUACACUCUGGUGUGUUUUUGUUUAUUUCAUUAUGAGAACAGUGAAAUAUACCUGGAGCUAGGUAGCCAAACGUGCCAGCGAUAGCAGAAGCAGUCUCUGUCUCUCCCCACUUGGCCAAAAUCUUAGCUAGUCCAAAAUCUGCAAUUUUGGCAUUCAGUUCAUGGUCUAAAAGGAUAUUACUGCACUUAAUGUCACGAUGAAUGAUUGGCGUAGAGCACUCGUGAUGCAUGUAACAUAGACCUCGGGCAGCACCAAUUGCAAUUUGCAGUCUAGUAUGCCAUUCCAAUACACAAUGUGCUGAGGCAGUAAUAUCUUUUUCACUUCUUCUCUUGUGAUGCAACCACUUGUCUAAGCUUUGAUUUUCCAUGUACUCGUACACCAAAACCUUUGAGUUUCCUCUAGAAAUGCAACAUAACAACUUCACAAUAUUAGAAUGUCGAAUGCUACCCAAUACUUCAACUUCUGCAAGGAACUGUUUCUCAAGCCCGUGGUCUAAAUUCCUCUUGUUCCAUAUUCUCUUAACUGCCACAAAGUUCCCAUUAGGAUUGACACCAACUCGAUAGACCUUCCCAUAUCCUCCACUUCAAAUCAAAUUUUCUUCUGUCAUAUUCACCUGAAUUUCAAAUUCUGUGAAUCCUAACUGCUGGAAAGAAAUGAACAUCCACUCAGGAUCUUGGUUCUCAUGCCUCUUCCUCCACAUGAGUUGGUCUGUGGAGAAAGUCCAAUUCUUUUUAAAUGUGUAACAUAAUAAUGUUAUCAUGACUAAAAAUGCAACAGGGGCCACAACGGCAAUUACAACUCUUGUUUUUCCACUUCAACGUGGAACUUGGAUGUAAUGGUUGGUAUAUUUGCUACAUAGAUUCAGAUUAUUUCUAAAGUAGUAUUCAUUCUUGUCAUACUCUUGUGGAAUAUGUCCAGAAAGCUGAUUCGAUGAAAGAUCCAAUGUUCUUAAUCUCAAAUUUCCAGUUAUACUAGGUAAAUUCCCAGAAAAUUGGUUAUCCCCCAAAAGAAGAGAUGUUAAAUUCUUCCAAUGAAAUAAGUAGCUUGGAAUUGAACCAUUUAGGUGAUUUCCUGAGAGAUCUAAGACUUGGAGACCAGAAAGAUUAGAAAACAUUUCUUGAGUUCUCCCCAUCAAUUCCAUAUUUGCAUCCAACAUUGGUAACCUACCGGAAAAUUGGUUAAACUCCAAAUGAAGAUUCGUCAACUUCUUCCAUUCAAACAAGUAACUUGGGAUAGACCCCUUUAAGUAAUUCAUUGAGAGAUCCAAGACUUCGAGACCUGAAAGAGCGGAAAAUGUUUCUGGAAUCUCCCCUUUCAAAUUUGACCGUACAAUGAAAAGGGCUGUCAACUUCUUCAGUCUUCUUAAUUCCUCUGGGAUUGUUGCCUGCUUAAAGCUGUCAAUAUAGGAUAUAUCCAAGGUCUCAAGCUUUGAUAAAUUUCCAAUUUCUCGGGAUAUCCAAGUGUUGAAAUUAUUGAACUUAAGAGAUAGAUAUUGCAAUUCAGAAAGCUGACCUAUGGCUUCUGGGAUAUUACUGAAGUUAUUUCCAGCAAUAUCUAAAUGGAUUAGCCUCGACAAACGAUGAAGGUCACUAGGCAGUGGUCCAUGGAAUUGAUUCCAAGAAAUAUCAAGAUAUUCCAGCUUUGAGCAAUUGUACAAGGAGGUAGGAAAUUCUCCUCUGAUAUAGUUGCUACUCAGGUCUAUCAAUUGCAGGCUUUUGAGUUCACAUAUGAUUAGUGAAAUUGUUCCGGAAAGUAGAUUCCCUUCAUGAAUCGAGAUGCUUGUAACAGAACCAUUUCUGCAGCCUAUACCAUACCAACUGCAGUGUGAGGAAUCGGAAUCGGAAUCCCAUAAUUGAUGCAAUCCCCAUAGUUGCUUCAGCUCCAACAAAAUGUUCUUCUCCUUUUCGUAGACGUCACUCUGUAAACCGCCCUGGAAAUGCAUAAAGGCAAGUAAGGAGACAAUGAAAAGGUAAACUUGUUUCCUGGGAAUUGAGAAUGUAGAUUUUACAACAUGAAUAUGGUUGAUUUUCAUGGCUCCUUUGGUUUGAUUGUCCUCUUUAUUUUGUGGAUCAUGAAUUAGCUUUGAAGAAACCGUGUAUUAUACAACACAAGUCAGUCAACAUGGACGAAAAUUUGUAUAAUGCUAACAAAGUUUGACUUGUUAAAUUUUAAAAAGAUAAGAAACAAAAAUUGACUUCACUGACGUCUGUGGACUGUGGCCAAGAAAAAACAGCAAAGAAAUCAGAUGAUCAAAUAUAAUAGAAGAUAAGAGAGAAAAUACAUGAUGAAGUCCCCCCUAACUUACAUUUUAUUUUAGAGUAGAUACCUAAAGUUUGCGGGGUCAUAUUAUCAAAGCAUUUCCCACCGUAAUAAAUAUACCAUUUUGAUCCAUUGCACCUACAAGUUGGUAGUAUUUUCCAGCUUUAUGCCCGGAUUUUUUAGCAAAUAAACCACAUUAUUGUUUCUUCUUUUUUUAAAGUUUUUGUCACUCACUUAUCCUUGUUCUGAUAUCAUGUUAAAAUAAAGAUACAAAAAUAAUGAAGAACAAGAAACAACCUAUGGAAGAAAUUUCCUCUUUCUUUUAUGUUAUUCGAUAUUUACAACAUCAUAUUGUUACACAAAAUUUGUAGUCGCUCUAGGGCUUCCCUUUCCUUGUCCAAAUAAGCCUACCAUUAUUCUUUUCCUAAUUAAAUUACAAUCACAUACAUAAUUAUCAUAAAUAUAAUUUUUCAUAUUUACUUCAUUAAUAAUACUAAUAAGAAAUAGAUUUACACGUAACUCAAUUCCAAAAAUAAGUUCAUGAGAAUUAUCUAAAACCAUAUAAAGAGACAAAAUCCUUAGUACAGUGUGAAACAGUUGUGCACACACUAGUAUUAACCCACACAAGGUGCAACCUUUUAUUCUUAAAUUUUUUGCUAACAGAUCAGAUGAGCAAAUAUAAUACUUUAAAAUUGGUACACAUCCUAAUCCAGUACCCACCCCCAAUGAAUACAAAAUCAUUUUCACAUAUUCUAUUUUUCUUUCACACAUGACUUCACAUUUAUCUUGUGUUUUAUCAUUUAUUUUUUUCAUAUUGAGGGUUGGGGUUCUGAAAAUAGGAGAUUAAUUAUUUUCUUUGAAUAUCACUUCCUAUCUAUAAGUAAUAACACAAAUUACAAAUUUCGAAAGCAUAAUUAAUAAGGUUAAUAUAGUAAAACAGACUUCUAAGUAAAUAUUUUGUUAAAGGAGAGUAUCAAGUCAUGGUGGAUAAGUUAAAAGGGGGAGGGAGUAAAUUAGUAGCUUGACUUGGUCAAAAGGAGACAACUAGCCAAUUAUUAUGGUUUGAUUCUUCAAAGCCAAAUAGUUGGCUCUAAAUGACUAUUUUAUUGUUGGAAUAAGAGUUGACUUGACAGACUUCAUUAUCAAAUGAAAAGAAACACAAGGAAAGCAUCAAAUUAACAUGAUCCAAGCAAGCUCUAAACUUUUUUGGCUCAAUAUGCAAAUCUUCUUCCUAAUUAGCCUGUCUUUCCAAGAAACCUUACAAUUUUCAGGCACGGAACGGUCCACAUUACUAAGCUUGAAACAACACUGGAGGGAUUCGGAGUUUUUCCAGUCGUGGAAUUUGAAUUCUUCAGAAUGCAAUUGGUUAGGAGUUUCAUGCAUCAAUGACAUGGUAGAGACACAAUUAAAUCUUGGAGAAAAGAACAUUACUGGAACAAUUCCAUCAACAAUAAUAUGUCAGCUCAACAACCUUACCUUCAUUGAUCUCUCCAACAACAACAUAUCAGGAACUAUACCACUAAGCCUGAAAGAUUGCUCAAUGUUACAACAUUUGGACUUGUUCAAUAAUUCUUUGAGCGGCCGGAUUCCAGGUGUUGUUGUUUGGGAUGAAAACACUAGUCAAUUUGUAUCUUAAUGGUAACAUGUUGUCCGGUGAAAUGCCAAAGCAAAUAUCAGCAUCCCAACUGAAAAAUCUUGAUCUUUCUGAGAACCACUUGAACGGUUCGAUUCCAGAAGCUAUUGGUAACUUGAAAAAUCUUGUGAAAUUGGAUCUGUCACAUAAUUCUCUAAGUGGUUCUAUUACAAGCAAGUUGUUUCAAUUGAACCAAUUGAGUCACUUGUCGCUAAGUUACAACUACUUAUCUGGUGUAUUACCUAAUGCAAUGAACUUGUUUAGUUUGUAUGAUAUGGAUCUUUCUCAUAACCAAUUGACUGGUUCUAUUCCAAAGGGACUUGCAAGUUCAACUGGACUGGAUGCUUUGGAUUUGUCGUAUAAUCAGUUAUCAGGAAACAUUUCAGAAAGUAUAAAACAUCUUAGGCCUAGAAUUAGUUUAAGGCUUUGUUCCAACAAAUUCUCAGGAAGAAUUUCUUCUGAAUUUGUUAAGCUAACAUAUGAAGAGAAUUGCUUUGAUGAGUCCAAUCUUUCUUCUACAUCCAAUAGCUUAUCUAUCCCUGGGCUACCAAGCUUUCUCUCUGGUGAUGAGGUUCAAAAAAUUUCGAGAUCACAACACUUGAUUAUUCCUAUUGUAGGAGUUGGGGUAGCUAUACUGUUAUUAUGGAUCUUUCACAGAACCAGAAAGCAUUGGUGGAAAACAAAGAUGCAGAAUGUCAAAGAUAACAUAAAGUUCAUUUCAUUUCAAAAGUUGAAGGUGACUACAGAAGACAUAUUAUCUAGCUUGAAAGACGAAAACAUAAUAGGAAAUGGAGGAUCAGGGAAGGUCUAUCGAGUUGUGAUAGACCAAACAGGCAAUACUUAUGCUGUUAAAAGCAUAGGGCAUGGAGAAAAAUCAGGUGGAAGACCCCAAAAGGAGUUCCUGGCAGAAGUUAGAACACUUGGUAGCAUUCGACACAACAACAUUGUCAAGCUCAUGUGUUGCAUCUCAAGUUUAGACAGAAAGCUUCUAGUCUAUGAAUACUUUGAGAAACAAAGCCUAGACAAGUGGCUUCACAGAAAGAAAAGAGCAGCGUCACCCGGUCAAAGUAGUACCCCGACCCUGGAUUGGCAAAAGAGAUUAAAAAUAGCCACUGGUGCAGCUCAAGGACUCAGCUAUAUGCACCACGACUGUACUCGACCCAUCAUUCAUAGAGACAUUAAGUCCAGCAAUAUACUUCUGGACUCAGAAUUCAAUGCAAAAAUAGCAGAUUUUGGACUAGCAAAAAUACUAUCCCGGAGGGAUGAUGAUCCUGAGACAGCUUCUGCUAUUGCUGGAACAUUUGGUUACAUUGCACCAGGUAUAUUACAGUUCAAAUAUAUAUCGUACCUCGUGAAUUCUCAAAAGAAUUUAUCCAACUCUAAUAUUUUUUAAUGUCGGGUCCUCACAGAGUAUGCCUCGACAUUCAGAGUGAAUAUAAAGACAGAUAUAUAUAGCUUCGGAGUGGUUCUAUUAGAAUUAACAACAGGGAGACAACCCAUUCUCAGAGAAGAGCAAAUGAAUCUAGCACAAUGGGCUCAACAGCGUUACAGAGAUGGGAAUUUCAUUGUUGAGGCCCUUGAUGAAGAAAUCAUGGAAACAAGUAAUGUGGAACAAAUGAGAGGUGUUUUUAAACUAGGACUGAUGUGUACUGGAGCAACACCAUACGGUAGGCCGUCAAUGAAGGAGGUCUGCAACAUUCUUCAAAGCUUCAGAGACACCAUAUUUUGAGAAAACAGAAUGUUUAGCCUUACAUGGAUAAAUGUAGUUGUAUUUUUUUAACAGAAUGAGAAAGUCUCAAUAGCCUCAGCUGGUUUAAGUGGUGUCAAACACAAGGGCUUGUAAGCUUUACCUUAGAAUGUUACUCCUUGUUCAUAAUUGAGAUGUAGCGAGGCAAGAGCUAAGUGUCUUGGCAAUUACAGUGUUUGUAUAUAUCAUUCGGGAGAUUAGACAGAUUUUAAGCACACUGAGCAUUAAGGUCUAACAAUGCUUUAGGAAGGAUAAUCAUGAUGCAGAUGCUUUAGCUAAAUGAGUAAUGGAGGUUAGACCCAUAUCUUUUUUUAAUUCUUCAGACAACCUGCCUAUUCCCAACCAAUGUGGGACUUUUACCCACUCUAACACGGGAAGUAGAUUUCUUUCAUGAAUAGAGAUGCUGGUAACAGAACCAUUUCUGCAGCCUAUAGCAUACCAACUGCAGUGUGAGGAACUGGAAUCCAAUAAUUGAUGAAAUCCCCAUAGUUGCUUCAGCUCCAACAAAAUGCUCUUCUCAUUUUCGUAGACGUCACUCUGUAAACCACCCUGGAAAUGCAUAAAGGCAAGUAAGGAAACAAUGAAAUGGUAAACUUGUUUCCUGGGAAUUGAAAAUGUAGAUUUUACAACAUGAACAUGGUUAGUUUUCAUGGUUCCUUUGGUUCGAUUGUACUAGCUACCUCAUUCUCUACAAUCUCUUGUUUUAUUUUUUUCAAGUGUUUUGAUUGGAUAGUUAAUUAGCUUUGAAGAAACCGUGUAUCAUACAACACAAGUCAGUCAACAUGGACAAAAAUUGUUGCUGACUAUGAAAGGAAAAUGCUAGCAAAGUUGACUUGACUGACCUUUCUGGCCAAGAAAAAACCAGCAAAGCAAGAAGAUUUUUGCAUUUUCCAGAAAACGAUUAUCAAUAACAUAAUCAACAUGUUUUUGUUUGUAAUCUAAAGAACUGCCAAUUAUUUAUUUGAAUUAUUAAAAUGGGAAAACUCAAUUAGCUCAAAUUCAACAUAAUAUUAAUAAGAAAUAGCUUUUGAACCUAACUCAACUGUAAAAACAAGCUAAGAAUUGUCCGAAACUAUAUAAAGAGACCAAAUCCAUCAUCCCACUACAAUUUUUGUGCAAGCACAAGAAAGUGCACCUACAAAUUCAUUUUCACAGUCUCUUUUUCUUUCUCACAUGACUUCACAUAUUUCAUAAUGAGGGUAUCAAGUCAUCGUGGGUAAGUACAAAGGAAGGGAGGGAGUAAAUUACUAGCUUGACUUAGUCAGAAGGAGACAAUUAUUAUGGCUUGAUUUUUCAAAGCCAAAUACUUGGCUCUGGAUGACUAUUUAAUUGUUGAAAUAUGAUUUCUUUAUUAAAUCCACACUGACUUCACAGACUUCAUUAUCAAAUGAAAAGAAGCACAAGGGAAGCAUCAAUUAACAUGUUCCCAGCAAGCUCUAACCAUUUUUUGCUUAAUAUGCAAAUUUUCUUCCUAAUUAGCCUGUUUUUUCAAGAAACCUUACAAUUUUCGGGCACGGAACAGUCCAUAUUACUAAGCUUGAAACAACACUGGAGGGAUUCGGAGUUCCUCCAGUCAUGGAAUUUGAAUUCUUCAGUAUGCACUUGGUCAGGAGUUUCAUGCCUCGAUGACCGGGUAGUGACACAACUAAAUCUUGGAGAAAAGAACAUUACUGGAACAGUUCCAUCAACAAUAAUAUGUGAGCUUAACAACCUUACCUUCAUUGAUCUCUCCAACAACAACAUUUCAGGAACUAUACCACUAAGCAUGAAAGAUUGCUCAAUGUUACAACAUUUGGACUUGUCCAAGAAUUCUUUGAGCGGACAGAUUCCAGGCGAGUUGUUUGGGAUGAAACAAUUACUCAAUUUGUAUCUUAAUGGUAACAUGUUGUCUGGUGAGAUGCCAAAACAAAUAUCAUCUCAACUGGAAAAUCUUGAUCUUUCUGAGAAUCACUUGAACGGUUCGAUACCAGAAGAUAUUGGAAACUUCAAAAAUCUUUUGAAAUUGGAUCUGUCACAUAAUUCUCUCAGUGGUUCAAUUACAAGCAAGUUGUUUCAGUUGCAUGAUUUGCGUCACCUGUCGCUAAGUUCCAACUACUUGUCCAGUGUGAUACCUGAUGAAAUGGACUUGUUUAGUUUGUAUGAUAUGGAUCUUUCACACAACCAAUUGACUGGUUCUAUACCAAAGCGAUUUAGGGAUUUACCUGGACUGGAUUCUAUGGAUUUGUCUUUUAAUCAGUUAUCAGGAGACAUUUCAAAAAGUAUAGAACGUCUUAGGCCUAGAAAUACUUUAAGGCUUUGUUCCAACAAAUUCUCAGGAAGAAUUUCUACUGAAUUUGUAAAGUUGACAUACGAAGAGAAUUGCUUUGACGAGUCCAAUCUUUGUUCUACAUCCAACAACUUAUACAUCCCCGGCCUACCAAGCUGCUCCUCUGGUGAUGAGGUUCGAAAAUCUUCGAAACCAAAACACUUGAUUAUUCCUAUUGUAGGAGUUGGGGUAGCUACACAGUUAUCAUGGAUCUUUUACAGAACAAGAAAGCAUUGGUGGAAAACAAAGAAGCAGAAUGUCAAAGAUGACAUGAAGUUCAUUUCAUUUCAAAAGUUGAAGGUGACUACAGAAGACAUUUUAUCUAGCUUGAAAGACGAAAACAUAAUAGGAAAUGGAGGAUCAGGGAAGGUCUAUCGAGUUGUGAUCGACCAAACAGGCAAUACUUACGCUGUUAAAAGCAUAGGGCAUGGAAAAAAAUCAGGUGAAAGACCCCAAAAGGAGUUCCUGGCAGAAGUUAGAACACUUGGUAGCAUUCGACACAACAACAUUGUCAAGCUCAUGUGUUGCAUCUCAAGUGUAGACAGAAAGCUUCUAGUCUAUGAAUACUUUGAGAAACAAAGCCUCGACAAGUGGCUUCACAGAAAGAAAAGAGAAGCGUCACCCGGUCAAAGUAGUACCCCAUCCCUGGAUUGGCAAAAGAGAUUAAAAAUAGCCACUGGUGCAGCUCAAGGACUCAGCUAUAUGCACCACGACUGUACUCGACCCAUCAUUCAUAGAGACAUUAAGUCCAGCAAUAUACUUCUGGACUCAGAAUUCAAUGCAAAAAUAGCAGAUUUUGGACUAGCAAAAAUACUAUCCAGGCGGGAUGAUAAUCCUGAGACAGCUUCUGCUAUUGCUGGAACAUUUGGUUACAUUGCACCAGGUCUAUUACCGUUCAAAUAUAUAUCGUACCUCGUGAAUUCUCAAAAGAAUUUAUCCAACUCUAAUAUUAAAUUUUAAUGUUUGGUCCUCACAGAGUAUGCCUCGACAUUCAGAGUGAAUAUAAAGACAGAUAUAUAUAGCUUCGGAGUGGUGCUAUUAGAAUUAACAACAGGGAGACAACCCAUUCUCAGGGAGGAGC
rnacentral:lncRNA from 1 species